CUACCAAGUGCACAGCAGAGUAGCCAAGUUUGGAAGGGAUAAACGCUGAAGGCAUCUAAGUGUGAAGCCCACCUCAAGAUAAGAUUUCCCAUAGCAUAAGCUAGUAAGACCCCAGGAAGACUACCUGGUAGAUAGGCUUAAGGUGAAAGCAUGGUAACAUGUUGAGCUGAUAAGUACUAAUAGGUCGAGGGCUUGACCUA
rnacentral:rRNA from 1 species